rnacentral:rRNA from 1 species
UCNUCCUGAUCNAAAANAUGCCGCGUGAGUUUCCCAGGCCUUAGNNUUGUAAAGCUCUUUCACCGAUGAAGAUAAUGACGGUANUNGNCCCCAGAAGCCCCGGCUAACUUCGUGCCAGCAGCCGCGGUAAUACGAAGGGGGCUAGCGUUGUUCGGAAUUACUGGGCGUAAAGCGCACGUAGGCGGAUAUUUAAGUCAGGGGUGAAAUCCCGCAGCUCAACUGCGGAACUGCCUUUGAUACUGGGUAUCUUGAGUAUGGAAGAGGUAAGUGGAAUUCCGAGUGUAUAGGUGAAAUUCGUAGAUAUUCGGAGGAACACCAGUGGCGAAAGCGGCUUACUGGUCCAUUACUGANGCUGANGUGCCGAAAGCCGUGGGGAAGCAAACNGGAAUUAGAUACCCUGGUAAUUCCANGGCCGUAAACGANGGAAUGGUUACUCCGUCCGGGGCAGUAUACUGUUUCGGUGG